AGGACGAAAAGGUGUAAAUCCAAAAUGGUGAGGGCGCCCACACAUGAUAAGUUCUCCCUUUCCUUAGACUGCUUCUAACGAAGACAACCAUUUACAGAUCAUGAGACACCUCCUCCAAUCCAUCACUGCCAAAAGACACUUGCUAUUUGCGUAGAACUGCUAUUUGCGUAGAAAAGUUGUGCAUCUCUCAUUGUUUGUUCAUGUAAAAAUCUAGGGUUAGGGUUUUCUAUUCGAAUCGGGCAAUUAUGAAGCAGUUGUUGUACACUCAUCAGAACCAUUCUCAGAGAAUGGCUUUUGCUGGUCUUCUCCUAAUUCUGCUUCCCAUUUUCUUCCCUCGCCUUUUCGGUCCACUGGGCCGAGCCUCGCCUGCUCUCUUCUCCGAAUGGAAUGCUCCAAAACCUAGACAUCUGCCACUUCUAAAAGCUGCUUUAACUCGCCAUAUUCUCACUCGACAACAGUCUGAGCUUUGGUCCCCUUUGCCUUACCAAGGAUGGAUACCUUGCUCUGGACAAUCAACUGUGCCUUGUAAGUGUUUAAAUGGUGAUUACGUGAGGUCUGCAUAAUCGUUGUGGUAAAUUACAUUGGACGUUGAUGUAAUAUCAUUGGCAAUUGAUAAGGUGCAAUUUCUAACAAACUUAAAUUACAUUUUGAAGCGUUGCCUAAAAAAUCUGGUGGGUAUAUCCAAGUAUUUCUUGAUGGAGGAUUAAACCAACAAAGAAUGGGAGUAAGUACCUAAAUUACCAAGAAACAUCUGUAUAAUCAAUGUGUGUGAUUCGUUGUUGUAAUUUUGUUUGCAUUGGACUGAUUGUUUUUGUAUUUUUUUUUACCCCCUUUCUUUCCCUUUUUCCAAGAUAUGUGAUGCUGUUGCUGUUGCUAAAAUACUAAAUGCAACCCUUGUAAUCCCACACCUUGAAGUAAAUCCUGUCUGGCAAGAUUCAAGGUAAUUCAUUAUUGAGUUGUCUUUUGAAAAUUUAUACCUAUGGGACAUUAUGGAUUUCUGUCUUGAAUUGAGACCUUAAAGUAGUAAUUAUGUUGUGUCUUCAGUUCAUUCGUGGAUAUAUUUGAUGUCGAUCAUUUUAUUGAUGUCCUACGUCAUGAAAUUUCUAUUGUUAAAGAGCCUCCUAGUGAGUACUCUUGGAGUACACGCGAGUAUUAUGCUACAGGUAUACGAGCUACUAGAAUCAAGACAGCACCUCUCCAUGCUUCAGCUAACUGGUAUCUGGAAAAUGUUUUGCCAGUAUUGCAGAGGUUGGUAUUUUGUCUGAUCAUUGUUUUGUUAGAACCACAAUAAGUUGUUGGAGUUUCUUAAGAGUAUUUCAUAGUACAUGGUUUGUUUGGUUGUUUCUCUCGGAUUUAUAUAUGCAUAAACAUUUCAUGCUUCUUUUUCCUUGUAGAUGCUCUCAUAUAUACCUUGCUCAUACUGCAAUAAUUCUUUUGGCAUUUUCUUGUAAAUUUAUUUUUCAUUGCCCCUCCCCAUUAAAUUUAUUUAUGGGUGUCCCGUUGUUGUAAACUUGCAAUGCACAAGGUUUUCUACAUUAGGGGCUAUGGAGGUUAAAUAUAUGCAACCUUCCCCAGAAAGCUUAGUAGAGAAUAGUUAAGUUCUGAGGGCCCUAUAAAAUGGUUGCUUGACAUCACACAAUUUGAUGAGCUUUACUCUGCUAUUACUGUUGUAUUUUAUCACAAUCUCCUAAAUUCUGGACUUGCAUGGCUUGGCUGUUGAUUUGGUCUGAUCAUUACCUUUUCUCUUUUCUGAUGAUUUUGUUACAUUUCGAGCUGAAAUUCGCAUGUAACAUCUACUUGAUGGUGCAUUAUUUGGGGUACAAAUAUUUAUUAAUAUGUAUUGGUAUAGCAAUUGCUUUUAGAAAAGUUAUUUGAUUGAAAUGCAUGACAUUGACUUUUGCAUUCAAAUAGUAUUUUAUUGUUGCAGUUAUGGAAUUGUUGCUAUUGCCCCAUUUUCUCACCGCUUGGCUUUUGACAAAUUGCCUACAAACAUCCAACGCCUACGUUGUAAAGUGAAUUUUGAAGCAUUAGUAUUCGUUCCUGGUAUAAAGUCAUUGGGGGAUACACUUGUUCAUCGUCUCCGCUAUGGUGACUCAGGGACAGAGUUCCUGAAGGAGAGAAGAGGUGAUGCUGAAAAAGUGGGAUCUGGAAAGUUUGUUGUGUUGCAUCUUCGCUUUGAUAAGGAUAUGGCUGCACACUCAGCAUGUGAUUUUGGUGGUGGUAAAGCUGAAAAACUUGCUCUUGCCAAAUAUCGCCAAGUUCUUUGGCAAGGAAGGGUUUUAAACUCACAGUUUUCAGAUGAGGAGUUGAGAAGUCAGGGCCGUUGCCCAUUGACACCUGAAGAGAUUGGAUUAUUGCUAGCAGCUUUAGGUUUCAGCAAUAGUACUCGUCUCUAUCUUGCUUCACACAAGGUUUAUGGUGGAGAAGCAAGGAUCUCUACCUUGAAGCAAUUAUUCCCCAUGAUGGAAGACAAGAAGAGCCUGGCCUCUGCCGAGGAACUGGUUGAAGUUGAAGGCAAGGCUUCUCUAUUGGCUGCAGUUGACUAUUAUGUGAGCUUGCAGAGCAAUGUCUUUAUAUCUGCGUCUCCAGGAAACAUGCACAAUGCUUUGGUGGGGCACAGAGCUUACUUGAACCUGAAGACCAUAAGACCAAACAUGGUGCUGCUGGGCCCGCUUUUCCUGAACAAAAGCUUGGAGUGGUCAGAGUUUCAGCUUGCAGUGGUUAAUGGUCAUAAAAGUAGACAAGGGCAGAUUAGAUUGAGAAAGGAGAAGCAAUCAAUAUAUACAUACCCUGUUCCUGAUUGUAUGUGUCAAUUGUAACUGGGAUGGAUGCAGAAGUUCUAAACUGCAAUUUUGUGCGUAUUUAUCUGCAAUUAUUACAUUCUUUUCCUGACUUGUGUAUAGCUAGUGUCUAGAAUAUUUUGGUUUUGCAUUUUGAUUGAAUUUGUGAUUAUGGAUAUGCAGAAUUGCACGUCGGUUUCACUUUUCUCCGCUAAGCUUUCAAGUUUUGUUUCUUUAGUGUGAUACUUUAGGAUCGAAGUUGAAAAUCAAAUUGGAAUAUUGUAGUAGUAACGCACUAAAUGCAGCACAUAUGGGGCUAAA
rnacentral:misc_RNA from 1 species